rnacentral:lncRNA from 1 species
UUUACAUUUCAUUUGUAAAUCAAGGGAGCAGAGUCUGGAGGAAGAGUGGAGAGACACACAGUCCAAACUGCUCGAGGUCUAGUGUGAAGUUUCCAUCUCUUUUUGUCUUAGACAGAACAUGCAGGAUAAAGAAAAUUAGGUUUUAUUAGGGGUUUGGGGAUUUAUAUGAGUUUAACAUUUUGAACUGAAUUACUGAAUUAAAUUUUUGAGGUGCACUAGUAUAUAUACAAUAAAAGUGAAAUGAUUAAUAUAUGAUUAUUUGUUGUGGCAUUCGUUUGUUUUUAGUAAUUGUUUGUCCAAUGAUAUCAAGUGCCUUCCUGAAAGAAAAACACAGCACUGAUAUUACGUUACAGAAAAUGCUGCGCUAAUCAUGUAUUUUGUUAAUAAACUCUUCUGGUGCUGUAGGUUCACGGUCAGAAGGCCGUGUGGGAGGAUCCAGUGGAGUGGGUUCGGGAUUCUCUACCUUGGCCCUCUGCUCAACAGGACCAGGCCAAGCUCUUCCACCUGCCUCCCCCCAGCACAGGUCCAGCCAGCCCCAGCCAACCCGGCGAGGAGAAGCCCCACAAGGAGACACCGCCCAGCUCCAUGGAGUCCGACCCCCUGAUGGCGAUGCUGUUAAAACUGCAGGAGGCGGCCAAUUACAUCGAAUCACCAGAGAAAGAGACUGACCCCAAACUGCCCACACUUUGAACAGCCAGUAUAAACUGAGCCCUCCUCGGCCUUUCUUUUCCCCCUCCAUCUCUCUCCGAAAGGGGUUCUUUCUCCACGUACGCUCGUUGAGGUCCUCACCUCUCACCUCCAAACCCUGAAAUUCACCUGUUCAUGAUCUGAACUGCUCAGAAGAUCCUGUACUGUGCUGACAGAACUCAUAAAAACUUAUCGGGUUUCCUGUUUUUCUUUUGUUUGUUUUAUUGUUUGUUGGUUUGAUAUGUUCAUCAUCUCAUUUUGCUCGUUUCUCUCGGUUAUUAAUAAUAAUAAUAAUAAUAACAAUAAUGCUGAACUUGCAUCACAGGAUCCUUACUAAGAAACAUUGGUACUUUUUUUUUGUUACGAACAUAAAAAGAACAUAUGUAUGUUAUAUAUAAAUAUCUAUAUAUAUAUAUAUAUACAUAUACAUAAACAUGCUUAUACAGUAUCUGCAGAUCAUACAUAUUAUAUAUGCUUAUAUAAAUAUAUAUUUAAAAAAAAACAGUUUACACACAGCAGCAUAGUUAUAGCUAUGUAUUUUGUUUUAUUUGAUUUUAUUUGAUUUUUUUAUUUCUUUUUUUUUGUUUUUUUUACGGGAGCCCUUACUGUUCCACUGCUGCCCACAAUACUACUCAAGAAAAAAAAAACAGGU